CUGUAGAUGAUUUUCAUUCCUCUCCUGUGGUGAGAAGUUGAACAUGGAAUAGUCAUCCAUUUAUAACAAAAUAUCUUUGUUAAUGCCUCAAGGAGCCCGACCCACUCUUGGGACUUUGGUCCUUUAAGCAAAAUGUCCAUAUAGGACCAAAGAUUCAGGUUUAAUAACUUAACACAUGAUAAAGACUGGUUUUGAACAAUCAGCUAACUGUGAAGAACUUGAGUUCAGUUGGUCCAUCAGACCAGGAAAGUUGACUAACCAAGUGAAUUAGACAACAAAGAAAACACACACAAUUCAAGAUCCUAACGCUAAUGAACAACAAUGUCCUUCCUGAAAGAGAGAAGCCUGUUGGUGAAGAACAAUUUUCUCUCUGGAAUUGAUGUUUUAUCGAGACAUGCGGCACAGAUCAGUGCUGAAAUACAACAGGGUGAGAGAAGAAACUAUAACGAGGUGCUUGAUUUGUCUUCUGGAGAUCUGCACAGAGGAGGAAUAAAACCCAUCACCUUUGUUCGUCAAGUUAUACCAGAUGAACCAACGAUUAUCCUAAUUUACGUUAGCUUGGCUUUAAACAUUUACAGAUCAACAGAAACUCUAUGCAGAUAAGUUUUAAAACACAACUUCUCAAUCGAUGUAGUUUUAACAUAAAACUGAUCAUAGAUGAACUUCUUGCAUUUCUUUUAGGUAUUUUUCAUCAAUUAAUUCUCUAAAUCUUUCUCUGGGGGCGGAGUCAGUGCCUCUGCAUGGUUUCUCUGAUUGGAUGACUAACAUCUGCAGUGCUAGUUCCAAAUUUAAUUGGAUGAAUUUUGCCGCAGUAAUAUCCAUAUUAGUACUAUGAUUAAUAAAGAAUUAUAUUUUCUUUCA
ensembl:lncRNA